UACGUAGGGGGCUAGCGUUGUCCGGAAUCAUUGGGCGUAAAGCGCGUGUAGGCGGUCCGGUAAGUCCGCUGUGAAAGUCGAGGGCUCAACCCUCGAAUGCCGGUGGAUACUGUCGGGCUAGAGUGCGGAAGAGGCGAGUGGAAUUCCUGGUGUAGCGGUGAAAUGCGCAGAUAUCAGGAGGAACACCUAUUGCGAAGGCAGCUCGCUGGGACGCAACUGACGCUGAGGUGCGAAAGCGUGGGGAGCGAACAGG
rnacentral:rRNA from 1 species